AUGACGAGAUAUUGGUGGAUUAGUUCCCUUGAUCGUCGAUCUCUGCAUUGGCUUGACUGGGACACACUUGCAACCCUGAAAGUGAAGGGAGGGAUGGGAUUCAGAGACCUGCAGCUCUUCAACCUAUCUUUUCUCCGAAAGCACGGAUGGAGACUUAUCACGAGCCCGAAUUCGCUUUGUGCGCGAGUGCUCAGAGGGAAGUACUUCCCAAAUACCGACUUCCUGGGCGCUAGAGCGCACCCGCACGCUUCGGCUAACUGGCGAGCUAUUCUGAAGCAUUGGAGGAUGGUUUGA
rnacentral:rRNA from 1 species